UCCGGCUGAUGUGCUCCAGGUGGGCAUGCUCUGAGGUGUCCAAGUCAAUCUCAUACUUGGCUAGGAUUUUGAGGAUGGGCCUCAGCUUCAGCCACCAUUGUUCCUUGGGGAUGCGGUGCCUACAGAGGAAUGAGGUCUGGUUUCAGGUCACCUCAUCGCCAUCACAUGAGGACUGGCAGACUUCAGCUCUGCUUCUGGCUCUGGCUCCCAUCCUCGGGCAACACGAGGAGCCAGUCUGCAGAUACCUGGGUCCCACCAUCAUUAUUGGAGCCAGAGUUCGGAGGAGUGACUCAUGGAGACAAGAAACCCAGACAAAUCAGACACAGCAACGUAACUGGGAGACUUUCUCAAGGCCUAUGGGAGUCUCUUUUGGACAUCUGCAGUCCUGGAGUAUAAAUCUUCAAUCUUAAGAAAUAAAAAAAAUUCUUCUGAAAUGUAGAGGUUGGAAUGCUGUCUCCUGCUCCCGAGGUAAGUAAGUGUAGGGUAAGAUUUAAGGAAAACAAAUGACUUCAAAGGUUUUAAGUGUAAAGCAAACAAUAGACAGUGGGCAGGGAAAAUCCAAAUCCAUGGGGCAGAAGAAAAACCCCAUGACAAAAGAAGAUUUUUUUUCUCUUUUCUCCUUCUUACCUUAGCCCUGCCAACCUCCAGAGGGUUUAACUUUGGUGUAAGGUCAUCCUUCCUGCCUCUGAACCGGAUACCUGAGUGUUUUCCCAGAAAUCAAGUUUUAAGACCCCUUCUGUAAGCCUGUACCUGUGUCUCAAACCCCUAGUUCCCUAGAAAUCACAGACUGGGCUGUAUAGACAGCUUACACUAGAAAGUCCCAGUAAUUCUUUGGGCUCUCCUACUUAACAUCACUGGCCUAUUCUGGCCCCAGGCCAGUCCUGGCCAGGCUCUCCUUGGCUGUUCCAUGUUGCCCUAAAUAACCCUCUAUGAGCAGCUGUCUGACUUAUUAGAAGCAAAAAGAAGGAUAAGAUUACAGGCACCAUCCCAGGGGUACUCUGGGUACAGCCAGGAGGAGGGCUCUGGAGAACAUCAGAAACACGUACUUUGGAGUCUCCAAUUACAGCCUGCCGGGAAGAGGCUUUAAGGAGAACUACAGGUGAUGGGUCUCUAUAAUGUGAGAUAGAAAAAAACUAAUAAAUGACUUGGUCACUACCUUUUUGCUAAAAAGUUUCUUUCUACCUUAACUGAACUUCAAAGAAAAAAAGGACGCGAGGAGCAAAUGUUUGUUAGAUGUGAAUUAUACUUUCUGAUGGAUAGGUAAUUAAAAAUUGUAAAUCCUAGAACAGCAAUCCAGAGAGGGCAUAGAAUCCUGUUCCUAUGAACCUUUAAAAAUAGGCUAAACAUGCAUUGGAAUGGACUGCCUGUCUGAAGACAGAGGGAUAGAGCAGAUGACUGAGGUCUUUUCCAGCAGAAUAUGCUGAUUGCAUUGGGCCAAUCGCAGCAUGGUUGUAAGAGGACUGGGACCACUUCUGGGCUGGAAAGGGAGUUAGGAUUUAGUAUCUAGCUCAGGAUGUCUGCUUCCUGGCCAUUCUCCUACUUUAGGAGGUUAUUAGCCUUGCUAAGCCCAGGGAAUGACGGAGCUGAGGCCCCUCUGGAUUUUAUAGAACCCAAGAAGCCCACAGCCUCCAGGGAAAAACAUUUCUGUGCCCUCUCCCUGGGAGAACUAGGGCCCAUUAAACCUCUCUGUGCAGGCCAAUUCUGUAUUUGAGAUGCUCUUUCAGCUGGGACCUCUCAGCUCUACUUUGAGUUUUCUGUUUUGCUUCCUUGCCUCCCUAGAAUCCCAUCCUCUACCACUCUCAUCCCCAUUGACAUGCCCCUGUGAUGUUAUGUGCAUUUGCAGUGGGAUGUUUCCCUGGACACACUGUGCCUGUCUCAGAAUCCCAUAGGCCUUAGUCCAGUUGGGCCCUCAGAAAUGAGCUUAUCAAUAGCCCCUGCUCCACAGAUGACAUUUCCCUUAAAGCAGGUGAUGGUCAUCUCCGGAAUAAGAGGGUCUCUCUGCUCAAGAUCAGGAGCUGGAAGGGCUCGGCCGCUCUUACACCAAAGUUAAACCCUAGGCCUUUUUUUUUCCCACCUCUUUCCCUCUGCAGAAAGCUCUGCUCUUUCAUAAUUUCAAAACUCUGUGUGCCUCACCUGGACUUUUUUAGCAGGUUCUCACUUCCCCUAAUCUGACAACCUAAUUCCACAGGCCAUCCUACCACGGUUUUAGGCUCAAUAGUCAGAGUUCAUGUUGAAGAACUCAGUACUGGCGUGGGAUUCUUUCCAGGAGAGAAGAGAGAAGCAACAGAAACCAAGUCAGCAGUCUCUAUGGCCUCAAGGACGGCUCUGCAUUCCUAAUCCAGCUACUAUUUCUAAACGCAGGUCUCUGCCCUCCUUCCUCAGUUUCCACAUUCUAGCAUUCUCCUGUUCGUAAUAUAUCACAAUUGUAACUCAAUAAACAUUAGUUUAUUUAA